rnacentral:misc_RNA from 1 species
ACAUCAAUUUUGUCCCCUGUAAAAGAAAUCGAUAAAGAGUACUAUCUUGUUAACAAAAAGACAUUAUGAACAAGUUGCAAGUAACACUUAUUAUGCAAUUUAUCGUCUUCUGAACAUCACAACAGAAAAGCCAUUGUAUCUGCCCACUGACUCACCAUAACAGAAAAAUGUUCAGAAUAUCCUAAUGCAUGUUCAUAAAGUUUUUGUUGCCUAAACAGGGUCCUGGCAACUGUGAUUUGGAUAUGAUCCUAAGCUUGACCAUCUGCUCCAAGUACUCUGAACCUGAUGUUUGUGCUUGAAAACAUGAUGUUUU